rnacentral:rRNA from 1 species
CCUUCCAUGAAGCCGGAAUUGCUAGUAAUGGCAGGUCAGCAUACUGCCGUGAAUACGUUCCCGGGCCCUUGUACACACCGCCCGUCACACCAUGAGAGUUGGAGAUACCCGAAGCCUGUGAGCUAACAAACGAGGCAGCAGUCGAAGGUAGAAUCAAUGAUUGGGGUGAAGUCGUAACAAGGUAUC